rnacentral:misc_RNA from 1 species
CAAUCAGCAAAAUCAGCAUCUGCCACCAACUCUUCCGCAUUUCGGGGCCGCAACCUUACUGCCACUCGAACUCUUCCAGGUACUCCAUCAUCUCCGGCAGCAGCGGCAGCGUUUUGACCGUACGAACUGCGGCGAAGGACGGCACCUGAGGACUGCGACGGAUGGAGCCUGGAUUUAAAAGACGAUGAUUUUGUAUAUGAAGCAAGAGGCUUUGGUGCUCCCUUUGAAGUGCCAUUUCUAUAAGCACUCGAGGCC